CUGGAAACGGUAGCUAAUACCGCAUAACGUCGCAAGACCAAAGAGGGGGACCUUCGGGCCUCUUGCCAUCGGAUGUGCCCAGAUGGGAUUAGCUAGUAGGUGGGGGUAAAGGCUCACCUAGGCGACGAUCCCUAGCUGGUCUGAGAGGAUGACCAGCCACACUGGAACUGAGACACGGUCCAGACUCCUACGGGAGGCAGCAUG
rnacentral:rRNA from 1 species